AAGUGAUCACCACACUGGGCAUUUAAACCUCAGUAUACAUUAACCCGAUCCUGAAACUGGCCGGCCUUACGUUAUAUCUACGUCACGUGUUCUGUCAACCAUCAACCUUCAACUUCUCUUAUACCGUAUUCUGAACUUUUGGAUUCGGCGCUCUUCGACUAAAUAUUUUCGCCAUUACUAUGAAGCUAAACCAUUCGAACUGAAACUCAAGAUUCUGUUUGAUGAAUUAAAAUGAAAGCUUCCUUCA